rnacentral:rRNA from 1 species
AUUGAACGCUGGCGGCAGGCCUAACACAUGCAAGUCGAGCGAGCGGCGGACGGGUGAGUAAUGUAUGGGGACUGCCAGAUAGAGGGGGAUAACUACUGGAAAAGGUGGCUAAUACCGCAUACUAUCGGAUAACCCAUAUGGGAUGAGCUAGUAGGUGGGGUGAAGGCUAACGUAGGCGACGAUCGUUAGCUGGUAUGAGCGGAUGAUCAGACAGCCUGUGACGGAGACACGUCCUAGACUCCUCCGGAUGCAGCAGUGGGUAAUAUUGCGCAAUGGGCGAAAGCCUGAUGCAGCCAUGCCGCGUGUAUUAAGAAGGCCUUAGGGUUGUAAAGUAAUUACAGCGGGGAUGCGUUACCCGCAUAAGAAGCACCGGCUAACUCCGUGCCAGCAGCCGCGGUAAUAC